rnacentral:rRNA from 1 species
AUUGAACGCUGGCGGCAUGCUUUACACAUGCAAGUCGAACGGCAGCGCGGGCUUCGGCCUGGCGGCGAGUGGCGAACGGGUGAGUAAUGCAUCGGAACGUGCCCAGUCGUGGGGGAUAGCCCGGCGAAAGCCGGAUUAAUACCGCAUACGACCUGAGGGUGAAAGCGGGGGACCGAAAGGCCUCGCGCUAUUGGCGCGGCCGAUGUCGGAUUAGCUAGUUGGUGGGGUAAAGGCUUACCAAGGCGACGAUCCGUAGGUGGUCUGAGAGGACGACCAGCCACACGGGGAGUGAGACACGGCCCAGACUCCGACGGGAGGCAGCAGUGGGGAAUUUUGGGCAAUGGGGGCAACCCUGAUCCAGCCAUGCCGCGUGAGGGAAGAAGGCCUUCGGGUUGUAAACCGCUUUUGUUCGGGAAGAAAUCCUCUGGGCUAAUACCCCGGGGGGAUGACGGUACCGGAAGAAUAAGCACCGGCUAACUACGUG